CUUACAAGUACUCUUGAUGACAGGAUGAAGAAUAGGCAGAUGAAGUGUUUUCAAGGUACUCCUAGGAGCAAAAAGUAUUUGUGAUUGUUCCUCUCGAUGUACUUGGGAAACUGAUCUGUGAUGCGAAUAGGGCUUGGUGAGCUGGAGGGUCCCAAUCAGGUUGGGAAAGCAGAGCUUGCCAUUCCUUCAUUCUUGCUCUCUCCUCCUAGGAAAGAGAGCUGACACCCCUUCUCUUCACCCCGUGAGACCAUGAAGAAUUAAACUUGAAAGAAAUCUUUGAAAGACUGCUGUUCUUUGGUGGCUGGCCUCCUGUAUAAACCGCACAUUCCUUCAGAGUCAAAACUCCUCUCUUGAGUGUUGGCCUCUUGAGCCCGGGCAGCUGAACAUGGGUUUUGAUAAGCGCUGGGACAGACCAUUUGACUGGCACAGAUCAAUUUGCUCAUCCAGGUAUGAGAUGAGGCUUCAUUCGGCUCUGAAAGUCUC
rnacentral:lncRNA from 12 species